rnacentral:lncRNA from 1 species
AAUGUGUUAGUAUCAAAAUUAUCAGUCAAUUCAUGUCAUUAUUAAAGGAGGAAGGGACUUGAGGAAUUGGGCAAAACUCCUGCACGGGAAGGGGAAAAUGCUCUUCUAAGCUCAUGGAAGCAGAGUUUGGCUUGCUGUGAUACUUGUAAGUUUAUCACUUUCUCAAAUGUUCUAUCAGCUCCAAAGACAGUCUUUCUUGUAAUAUACUAAUGAGUUUUAUUUUUCCUUUUCUUUUUCUACUACCACCUUCAGCUGCUCUAUAGCACCUGAUAUCAAUGAACACUUUCAAAAUCAGGUUAUUCCCAAAUGAAAUGUCCAGUCUUGAUCUUGGACCCUUCUGCUUGUUAUGUGUCCUUAUAGAUUCUUUCCCAUAACAAUGGAUGUAUUUGCCUUCCUCACAAAUAAAGAAACAGCCUCUUAUUUUUGCCAAAGAUACAACCAUCCCCCAAGUUUCCAAGGCCCAAGUUAUUGGAAUAAUUUGUAAUCGUUUCUCUCCCUUGAUCUCAUAUCCAGUUCAUCACCACGUCUUUCCAAAUGCUUUACCCAAAUGUAAUGGCUUCAUAUCCAUACUCUUCAGAUGACUCUCCUUUUCUUGCUCCAUUCCAUCUCUAUACAAGCUCCAAUAACACCUUUUAAGUAUCUUUGCACUGACACCUUUUUCUAUACAAGAAUCUACGCUCCCCUUUGUCUGCUAUAACAAACACACACUUGCAUGUCCAGCAUUUAGCACCUUACAUCAGCUGCUCUUAGAUGUAUUUUAUAUAACCUAAGAAUAUGUUUGCUUUCCCCAUUUAGAGUUUACUGUACACCAAUUUUCACAUAUGAUUCUCACAAUAAUACUAUAAAAUAGAUACACUGCUAUCAUCUCCAUUGCACAGAUGAGGAAACUAAGAAUCAAAACUCAGAGUAAUUUUCCAAAAGUCCUUUAGGUUGUAAGUGGUCGAGUUUUUACUUUAUGCAAAUCAUUCUGAUCCAAAGACUAUAGUCUUAAUUAUUACACCCUAUCACCUUCACAUCAAAUACCUGCCUUUGUAAGUAUCAUCUCAUCUACCUAGAACUUCUUCUCUCAUCAAUCUUGCCCAGGUUGCCUUUAACCUAAACAGCCACCCAGCUGUGCAUUUCCUUUCAUGGCUCUUGCCUCCUGUCUCCAGCACUAUAUCUGUUGUUCUUCAUAGGUGAUCUUCAGCUCAACUAUAGAAAUUUCAACUUGGAAAAUUAUGCAUGUCUUGGAUAGUCUGUAUCCCCAGCACCUAAGAAAAUUCC